rnacentral:rRNA from 1 species
UAGAGUUUGAUCCUGGCUCAGGAUGAACGCUAGCUACAGGCUUAACACAUGCAAGUCGAGGGGAAACGGCGUUCUAGCUUGCUAGAACGGACGUCGACCGGCGCACGGGUGAGUAACGCGUAUCCAACCUGGCCCGAAGUAGGGAAUAAUCCGUAGAAAUGCGGUCUAAUGCCCUAUGUGGUUCGAAGAAGACAUCCGAUUUGAAUUAAAAAUUCAUCGCUUCGGGAUGGGGAUGCGUCUGAUUAGGCAGAAGGCGGGGCAACGGCCCACCUUACCGACGAUCAGUAGGGGUUCUGAGAGGAAAGUCCCCCACAUUGGAACUGAGACACGGUCCAAACUCCUACGGGAGGCAGCAGUGAGGAAUAUUGGUCAAUGGCCGGAAGGCUGAACCAGCCAAGUAGCGUGCAGGAUGACGGCCCUAUGGGUUGUAAACUGCUUUUGUACGGGGAUAAAGUGGGUCACGUGUGACUUAUUGCAGGUACCGUACGAAUAAGGACCGGCUAAUUCCGUGCCAGCAGCCGCGGUAAUACGGAAGGUCCGGGCGUUAUCCGGAUUUAUUGGGUUUAAAGGGAGCGCAGGCCGCCUGGUAAGCGUGUUGUGAAAUGUAGGGGCUCAACCUUUGCAUUGCAGCGCGAACUGCCGGGCUAGAGUACGCACGACGUUGGCGGAAUUUGCCGUGUAGCGGUGAAAUGCUUAGAUAUGGCGAAGAACUCCGAUUGCGAAGGCAGCUGGCGGGAGCGCAACUGACGCUCGUGCUCGAAAGUGCGGGUAUCGAACAGGAUUAGAUACCCUGGUAGUCCGCACGGUAAACGAUGGACGCCCGCUAUCCGUCCUUUGGGAUGUGUGGCCAAGCGAAAGCGUUAAGCGUCCCACCUGGGGAGUACGCCGGCAACGGUGAAACUCAAAGGAAUUGACGGGGGCCCGCACAAGCGGAGGAACAUGUGGUUUAAUUCGAUGAUACGCGAGGAACCUUACCCGGGCUUGAAUUGCAGACGAACGACCAAGAGAUUGGAAGGCCCUCCGGGGCGUCUGUGAAGGUGCUGCAUGGUUGUCGUCAGCUCGUGUCGUGAGAUGUUGGGUUAAGUCCCGCAACGAGCGCAACCCUUAUGGUUAGUUGCUACGCAAGAGCACUCUAGCCAGACUGCCGUUGACAAAACGGAGGAAGGUGGGGACGACGUCAAAUCAUCAUGCCCCUUACGUCCUGGGCUACACACGUAAUACAAUGGCGAUCAACAGAGGGAAGCAAUACAGUGAUGUGGAGCAAAUCCCUAAACAUCGUCUCAGUUCGGACUGCAGGCUGCAACCCGCCUGCACGAAGUCGGAAUUGCUAGUAAUCGCGGAUCAGCAUGCCGCGGUGAAUACGUUCCCGGGCCUUGUACUCACCGCCCGUCAAG